GAUGAAGAAUGUAGCGAAAUGCGAUAAGUUAUGUGAAUUGCAGAAUUCAGUGAAUCAUCGAAUCUUUGAACGCACCUUGCACCCUUUGGUAUUCCGAAGGGUAUGCUCGUUUGAUUGUCAUUGUACUCUCACACUUCUAAUUCCUUUCGGGAUUGGGAGCGGUGGACUUGGGUGUUGCUGCUUUAGUUGUGGCUCACCUCAAAUAAGUUAGUGCAACUCUUGGUUGGACAUAGUACGGCGUGAUAAGUGUCUUCGCCGGCGCCUCUGUAAGGAGGGUGGCCGAUCGGGAGCUCUGUGCUUCAAACCGUCUUCGGACAAUCUUUGACAACUUGACCUCAAAUCGAGUAGGACUACCCGCUGAACUUAAGCAUAUAAUAAGCGGAGGA
rnacentral:misc_RNA from 1 species